AGUGAACGCAGGCGGCGUGCUUAACACAUGCAAGUCGAACGAGAACGGGUUAUAGCUUGCUAUAAUUGUCAGCUAAGUGGCGCACGGGUGAGUAAUGUAUAGGUAAUAUGCUUCUUACUAAGGGAUAACAAAUGGAAACGUUUGCUAAUACCUUAUACUCCUUAUUAACAUAAGUUAAUAAGGGAAAGAUUUAUUGGUAAGAGAUUAGCCUGUAUUGUAUCAGUUAGUUGGUGGGGUAAUGGCUUACCAAGACUAUGACACAUAACUGGUUUGAGAGGAUGAUCAGUCACACUGGAACUGAGACACGGUCCAGACUCCUACGGGAGGCAGCAGUGGGGAAUAUUGCACAAUGGACGAAAGUCUGAUGCAGCAACGCCGCGUGGAGGAUGACACAUUUCGGUGCGUAAACUCCUUUUAUAUGAGAAGAUAAUGACGGUAUUAUAUGAAUAAGCACCGGCUAACUCCGUGCCAGCCGCCGCAGUAA
rnacentral:rRNA from 1 species